CCCUUAGAUGUUCUGGGCCGCACGCGCGCUACACUGAUGCAUUCAACGAGUCUAAAACCUGCUCUGAUAGGGGUGGGUAAUCUUUUGAAUGUGCAUCGUGAUUGGGAUAGAUGAUUGCAAUUUUUCAUCUUCAACGAGGAAUGCCUAGUAAACGCAAGUCAUCAGCUUGCAUUGAUUACGUCCCUGCCCUUUGUACACACCGCCCGUCGCUCCUACCGAUUGAAUGAUCCGAUGAAUAUCAUGGAUUGAGGAUUAUAGCAGGUGCGCCUGUCUUGAUCUUCGAGAAGUGAAGUAAAUCUUAUCAUUUAGAGGAAGGAGAAGUCGUAACA
rnacentral:rRNA from 1 species